AGUGAACGCUGGCGGUAGGCCUAACACAUGCGAGUCGAACGGCAGCACAGUAAGAGCUUGCUCUUACGGGUGGCGAGUGGCGGACGGGUGAGGAAUACAUCGGAAUCUACUUUUUCGUGGGGGAUAACGUAGGGAAACUUACGCUAAUACCGCAUACGACCUACGGGUGAAAGCAGGGGAUCUUCGGACCUUGCGCGAUUGAAUGAGCCGAUGUCGGAUUAGCUAGUUGGCGGGGUAAGGCCCACCAAGGCGACGAUCCGUAGCUGGUCUGAGAGGAUGAUCAGCCACACUGGAACUGAGCCACGGUCCAGACUCCUACGGGAGGCAGCAGUGGGGAAUAUUGGACAAUGGGCGCAAGCCUGAUCCAGCCAUACCGCGUGGGUGAAGAAGGCCUUCGGGUUGUAAAGCCCUUUUGUUGGGAAAGAAAAGCAGCAGGUUAAUACCCCGCUGUUCUGACGGUACCCAAAGAAUAAGCACCGGCUAACUUCGUG
rnacentral:rRNA from 1 species